GAUGAACGCUGGCGGCGUGCUUAACACAUGCAAGUCGAGCGAAGCAGUUAAGAAGAUUCUUCAGAUGAUUCUUAACUGACUGAGCGGCGGACGGGUGAGUAACGCGUGGGUGACCUGCCCCAUACCGGGGGAUAACAGCUGGAAACGGCUGCUAAUACCGCAUAAGCGCACAGAGCUGCAUGGCUCGGUGUGAAAAACUCCGGUGGUAUGGGAUGGGCCCGCGUCUGAUUAGGCAGUUGGCGGGGUAACGGCCCACCAAACCGACGAUCAGUAGCCGGCCUGAGAGGGCGACCGGCCACAUUGGGACUGAGACACGGCCCAAACUCCUACGGGAGGCAGCAGUGGGGAAUAUUGCACAAUGGGGGAAACCCUGAUGCAGCGACGCCGCGUGAGCGAAGAAGUAUUUCGGUAUGUAAAGCUCUAUCAGCAGGGAAGAUAAUGACGGUA
rnacentral:rRNA from 1 species